rnacentral:rRNA from 1 species
UGUUGACCUCGAAUCAGUUAGGAUACCCGCUGAACUUAAGCAUAUCAAUAAGCGGAGGAAAAGAAACCAACAGGGAUUGCCUCAGUAACGGCGAGUGAAGCGGCAACAGCUCAAAUUUGAAAUCUGGCUCCUUCGGGGUCCGAGUUGUAAUUUGUAGAGGAUGCUUCGGGUGCGGCGCCGGUCUAAGUUCCUUGGAACAGGACGUCAUAGAGGGUGAGAAUCCCGUAUGUGACCGGAUGCCUAUCCCAUGUGAAGCUCCUUCGACGAGUCGAGUUGUUUGGGAAUGCAGCUCUAAAUGGGUGGUAAAUUUCAUCUAAAGCUAAAUACUGGCCAGAGACCGAUAGCGCACAAGUAGAGUGAUCGAAAGAUGAAAAGCACUUUGGAAAGAGAGUUAAAAAGCACGUGAAAUUGUUGAAAGGGAAGCGCUCGCAAUCAGACUUGCCCGCAGUUGAUCAACCGGUGUUCUCACCGGCGCACGCUUCUGUGGUCAGGCCAGCAUCAGUUUGGGCGGUUGGAUAAAGGCCCGGAGAAUGUAGCUCCUCUCGGGGAGUGUUAUAGCUUCGGGUGCAAUGCGGCCCACCCGGACUGAGGACCGCGCUUCGGCUAGAUGCUGGCGUAAUG